CGCAAGCGGGUACUUCCUUCGAAUGCGUCGGAUCUCGAUCUCAAAAGAAGCCUUCAUCUGAGUCUUCUCGAGGACAAGCUGAUCAAAAAUCUUCUUCCAAGCAACGGAAGGGUGGGGCAUACUAUAGGAAGAUGAAACCUCUGACUCUCUCUGUCUCUUCGUUACUCGGUCUUCAAGAAGCUCAAUAAAUGCAUCUUUGUUCUUAGACUCAAGUUAUAACUCCUCAUGCUUUCUGCUCAAAGCAUGGAAACGCUCUUCCCACAUGUCUUUUUCUUGCUUCAUCUUGGAGAGUGUGUCUUCCAACUCCUCUACAUCUUGGUUAGGGGGAGUUAAUGGCUCAACCACAACCAUAGACAUAGGUCUUUCACAAGCAUAAGGCAUCUUCGACUCCAAAGCUCUCUUCUUCAC
rnacentral:lncRNA from 1 species